rnacentral:misc_RNA from 1 species
GCAAACUUGGUCAUUUAGAGGAAGUAAAAGUCGUAACAAGGUUUCCGUAGGUGAACCUGCGGAAGGAUCAUUAAAGUAUCUCCUCGGGAGGGAGGCGAGCCCUGCUCCGACCCCACCAGUCGUGCAGCGGGCGAGCCGACCGACCGAAACCUUACAAACCCCCUGUGCACUUCAGCGGCGGAGGGAUCCCUGGGCGAGAGCUCGGGGGACCCGAAACCGUUACCUUACAAACACUUGAACAUAAAAGAAUGCUUUGCGGCCGUUGCGUCGCCUAACAAACGAAACAACUUUCAACAACGGAUCUCUUGGCUCUCGCAUCGAUGAAGAACGCAGC